rnacentral:rRNA from 1 species
UACAGAGGGUGCGAGCGUUAAUCGGAAUUACUGGGCGUAAAGCGCACGUAGUCGGCUUUGCAAGUCGGGUGUGAAAUCCCCGGGCUCAACCUGGGAACUGCAUCCGAGACUGCAUUGCUAGAGUAUGGGAGAGGGAAGCGGAAUUCCUGGUGUAGCGGUGAAAUGCGUAGAUAUCAGGAAGAACAUCGGUGGCGAAGGCGCUCUGCUGGACCAUAACUGACACCCAGGGACGAAAGCUAGGGGAGCGAAUGGG